AUACGGAGGGUGCAAGCGUUACUCGGAAUUACUGGGCGUAAAGCGUGCGCAGGUGGUUUUGUAAGUCAGAUGUGAAAUCCCCGGGCUUAACCUGGGAACUGCGUUUGAAACUGCAAGGCUAGAGUGUGGCAGAGGGGGGUGGAAUUCCGCGUGUAGCAGUGAAAUGCGUAGAGAUGUGGAGGAACACCGAUGGCGAAGGCAGCCCCCUGGGUCAACACUGACGCUCAGGCACGAAAGCAUGGGGAGCAAACAGGAUUAGAAACCCCGGUAGUCC
rnacentral:rRNA from 1 species